GGAAGCCCAGCUUGCUGGGUGGAUUAGUGGCGAACGGGUGAGUAACACGUGAGUAACCUGCCCUUAACUCUGGGAUAAGCCUGGGAAACUGGGUCUAAUACCGGAUAGGAGCGCCUACCGCAUGGUGGGUGUUGGAAAGAUUUAUCGGUUUUGGAUGGACUCGCGGCCUAUCAGCUUGUUGGUGAGGUAAUGGCUCACCAAGGCGACGACGGGUAGCCGGCCUGAGAGGGUGACCGGCCACACUGGGACUGAGACACGGCCCAGACUCCUACGGGAGGCAGCAGUGGGGAAUAUUGCACAAUGGGCGCAAGCCUGAUGCAGCGACGCCGCGUGAGGGAUGACGGCCUUCGGGUUGUAAACCUCUUUCAGUAGGGAAGAAGCGAAAGUGACGGUACCUGCAGAAGAAGCACCGGCUAACUACGUGCCAGCAGCCGCGGUAAUACGUAGGGUGCGAGCGUUAUCCGGAAUUAUUGGGCGUAAAGAGCUCGUAGGCGGUUUGUCGCGUCUGUCGUGAAAGUCCGGGGCUUAACCCCGGAUCUGCGGUGGGUACGGGCAGACUAGAGUGCAGUAGGGGAGACUGGAAUUCCUGGUGUAGCGGUGGAAUGCGCAGAUAUCAGGAGGAACACCGAUGGCGAAGGCAGGUCUCUGGGCUGUAACUGACGCUGAGGAGCGAAAGCAUGGGGAGCGAACAGGAUUAGAUACCCUGGUAGUCCAUGCCGUAAACGUUGGGCACUAGGUGUGGGGACCAUUCCACGGUUUCCGCGCCGCAGCUAACGCAUUAAGUGCCCCGCCUGGGGAGUACGGCCGCAAGGCUAAAACUCAAAGGAAUUGACGGGGGGCCCGCACAAGCGGCGGAGCAUGCGGAUUAAUUCGAUGCAACGCGAAGAACCUUACCAAGGCUUGACAUGUUCUCGAUCGCCGUGAAGAUACGGUUUCCCCUUUGGGGCGGGUUCACAGGUGGUGCAUGGUUGUCGUCAGCUCGUGUCGUGAGAUGUUGGGUUAAGUCCCGCAACGAGCGCAACCCUCGUUCCAUGUUGCCAGCACGUAGUGGUGGGGACUCAUGGGAGACUGCCGGGGUCAACUCGGAGGAAGGUGAGGACGACGUCAAAUCAUCAUGCCCCUUAUGUCUUGGGCUUCACGCAUGCUACAAUGGCCGGUACAAUGGGUUGCGAUACUGUGAGGUGGAGCUAAUCCCAAAAAGCCGGUCUCAGUUCGGAUUGGGGUCUGCAACUCGACCCCCAUGAAGUCGGAGUCGCCUAGUAAUCG
rnacentral:rRNA from 1 species